GAGCGUUGUCCGGAAUGAUUGGGCGUAAAGGACGCGUAGGCGGCCUGGUAAGUCCGGAGCGAAAGUCCUGCUUUUAAGGUGGGAAUUGCUUUGGAUACUGCUGGGCUCGAGUGCAGGAGAGGAAAGCGGAAUUACCGGUGUAGCGGUGAAAUGCGUAGAGAUCGGUAGGAACACCAGUGGCGAAGGCGGCUUUCUGGACUGAAACUGACGCUGAGGCGCGAAAGCGU
rnacentral:rRNA from 1 species